GUUGAGGGCGCAGAGCACGCGCUGCUUGGCGGCCCACACGGGCGCGGUCGGGUCCAGGCGCAGGCACUUCUGCAGCGGGGCGGGCUCGUAAGCUCAGACUCGGGCAGCGCGACCCGCCCCGCCCGCUCCACGCGGGGUGCCGAGCCCCGGGGCCCCCCGCAACGCCGAAGGAGUCCGGGGCUCCGGAGCCGGCGUCCAGGACCCCGCGCCUCCGCGAACUGCGGUCCAGGCUCCGCCCCGGGGGCCGGGCUUCCUCGGGCCCCGCCCUGGUGAUGGGGAGGGUCCCGGCGGAGGCGGCGGGGGAGGGACAGAGUUUCGCUCUUGUUGCCCAAGCUGGAAUGCAGUGGCACAAUCUUGGCUCCCUGCAAUCUCCACCUCUCCGGUUCAAGCAAUUCUGUCUCAGCCUCCUGAGCAGCUCAGAUUAUAGGCACCGGCUAAGAUGCCCGGGGUUUCACCAUGUUGGCCAGGCUGGUCCUGAACUCUUGACCUCAGGUAAUCCACCCACCUCUGCCUCACAAAGUGCUGGGAUUACAGGCAUGAGCCACUGCACCUAGCCAUUUUGUUCUGAUUUUCUAAUAUCAAUUAUAUAUUUUGGCUUGGGAAUUGCUGAAAAGUAUGCUUAUUUAUAUUUUUUAAUGUGCUGGGCGUGGUGGCUCACACCUGUAGUCCCAGCACUUUGGGAGGCCAAGGUGGAUCACCUGAGGUCAGAAGUCCGAGACCAUCCUGGCCAACAUGGUGAUACCCCAUCUCUACUAAAAAUACAAAAAUUAGCCAGGUGUGGUGCGUGCCUGUAAUCCCAGCUACUCUGGAGGCUGAGGCAGGAGAAUUGCUUGAACCCGGGAGGCAGAGGUCGCAGUGAGCUGAGAAUGCACCAUUGCUCUCCAGCCUGGGCAAUAAGAGCAAAACUGCUUCUCAAAAAUAAAUAAAAAUAAAAAUACUUUCAAAUGCAUAUUUUUUUGUUGGGGAAGACUAGCCCUUGGUUAUUGAUAUUUUUUACAUUAUGGUCAGAGAAGGUAUAUCCAUAAUACUGAUAUUUUGGGGUUCUGUGAACUCUAUCCUUCUACAUGGUCCAUAUUUGUAAACGUUUCCUAUUUAUUCAGUAGGAAUUGUUGGAUACAGGUAUAUCUAUUCUUAUCAUAAAUGUUGAUUUCAUCUAUUUCAUAUAUACUGAUUCAUAACCAUGAUACAUAUUAAUUCACAUAUGCAUUUUAUUCAUAUAUAACCUCCAUUAGAUCAAGCUUGUUUAUUUUAUUCACAUAUGCUGUACUUUCUAAUAUGCUGUCUGCUUGAUUUAUAAGUGACUGAGAGAGAUGUGUUCAAAUCUCUGCGGUGGCUGUGGCUUUGUCAGUCUCUUCUUUACAUUUUGCCAGUUUUGGUUUUAUAGACUUUAUCUUUGUCAUUAAAUGCUAGCAAGCUUAGAAUUAUUACAGCUUCCUGAUAAAUUCAUCCUUUUAUCAUAAGACCACUGUUUAAUUAAGCUUUUUGUCUUAAUUUUAUUUUUUCCAACAGUGAAAAUAGCUACAACACACUUCUUCGUGGCCUCGUGUAUCUUUCUCCAUCAUUUUCCUUUUAUCCUUUGUUUUAUAUUCUUCAGUGUGCUUCUGGCAAAUAGCAUAUACAGCUAGAUUUUUUUUAGACCCGGUCUGACAAUUUUCAAUCUUUAAGAGUCUGUAUGUUGUAAUUAAUGAUAUGCUUUAACUGAUUUUUACCAUCUUAUUUUGUGCUGUUGGUUUGUACUUUUUCCUCUAUGCUUCUUUUUUCUUUCUGCCUCUAUUGGAUUGAUCAUGUUUUCUUUAUUUCCCUUUCCUCCAACUCCCAUUGGUUUGGAAUUCAUGUAUUCUUUUUCUGUCAUUUUUAUAAAUAAACUUUCCACAUGCAUAAUUAACAAGGUCUAAAGUUAAUUAGUGUCUCUAAUAUUCCUUCUGUGUAACAAAAAGAAUUCAGAAUACUUGGCCAGGCACAGUGGCUCAAGCCUGUAAUCCCAGCACUUUGGGAGGCCGAGGCGGGUGGAUCAUGAGGUCAAGAGAUCGAGACCAUCCUGGUCAAAAAGGUGAAACCCUGUCUCUACUAAAAAUACAAAAAUUAGCUGGGCAUGGUGGUGGGCGCCUGUAGUCCCAGCUACUCGGGAGGCUGAGGCAGGAGAAUUGCUUGAACCCAGAAGGCGGAGGUUGUGGUGAGCCGAGAUCGUGCCAUUGCACUCCAGCCUGGGUAACAACAGCUAAACUCCGUCUCAAAAAAAAAAAAAAAAAAAAGAAUUUAGAAUACUUAACCUCCAAUCGCUGCUCUCAUCCUGGCUUUUGUCCAUGUUGUUUUCACCUCCAAAUUAGUCAUGUCUGUUAUUACUAUCACUGUAGAAAAAUAAAUGCUUGUUUAGACUUAGUCACAUGUUAACCAGUUUGCUUGCUUGCUUGUUACGGAGUUUCACUCUUGUUACCCAGGCUGAAGUGCAGUGGCGCAAUCUCAGCUCACUGAAACCUCCAACUCUUGGGUGCAAGCAAUUCUGCCUCAGCCUCCCAAGUAGCUGGGAUUACAGGCAUUGCCACCACACCCUGCUAAUUUUUGGAUUUUCAGUAGAGAAAGGAUUUCACCAUGUUGUUCAGGCUGGUCUUGAACUCCUGACCUCAAGUAAUUCACCUCAGCCUCCCAAAUGCUGGGAUUACGGGCGUGAGCCACCAUGCCCAGCCUUCUUGCCUCUCAUUCUUUCCUUCUAGGUUUAAUUUUCUUUUCCCUAAGAGUGCAUCCUUUACACUUCAUUCAUUCAUUCAUUCUUGAGAUAGGGUCUCACUCUGUUGCCCAGGCUAGAGUGCAAUGUCACGAUCUCGGCUCACUACAGCCUCUGCCCCCUGGGUUUAAGCGAUUCUUCUGCAUCAGCCUCCCAAGUAGCUGGGAUUACAGGCAUGCAACACCACGCCCAGCUAAUUUUUAAAAUUUUUUCUAAAGACAGGGUUUCCCCAUGUUGCCCAGGCUGGUCUCAAACUCCUGACACUCAAGCAAUCCACCUGCCUCAGCCUCCCAAAGUGCUGGGAUUACAAGCAUGAGCCACUGAGCCCAGCCUCUUGUUUUUAAUUAUUUCAAAAAUAUCUAUUUUAAAAUUUCUAGUCAAUAGUUUCAUUAUGUGAACUGUUUGAUGGUCUAAUUCUGCUUUUUGUGACAUCAACUAAUUCUGACUCUUGGUGGAUUGUUUCUGUGAGAAUUUUAUGACCAGGGGUUAUGAGCUCGUGUUGGGCCUGGAUUUAUGUGAGAACCCUGAAUAACCUAGAUGUGCCCCUUCAGAGGCAUACUGCUAGCCCACCAUUUCUUUUUAUGUCAAUGUCUUAGCUUUGUGGCCAGGACCACAAAGGGUAAUAUAAACUCCAAAGCUGGCAAUAAUGAGUUUCACGGAAAAACCUUUUUUGCUUGGAGACUACCACAAAGACUUACGAAAAUUGUUUAAAUAAAAAAAAUGUGCAGUGAAAAUUAAGAAAAUGGAUUGUUCACCGAGGUUUUUAAGCACAUACAUGCCACUCUAACUGUAUCACACAUAUUAGUUCAUUCAAUCAUCACAAAGUCGCUGGGCGAGCCACUGUUACUGUCCUCAUUUAACAAACAAACAGGUAACUUAACUUGUCCGUGGUCACUGUGGCUGGUCAGCAGAGAAGCCGGUGGCCAUUGUGAGUCCUGCUCUGGGAUUGUGCGUCUCUUAAAAUGAGGAGACUUGUUCCACUCUUGAGAUGCAGAGGAGAGAUGUGAACUCACGAGCUACUGGCAACCAAGGUGCCAGCCUUGAGAAGAAAGCCACAUUGAAAGAAAUAGAGAUUUGAGAGACAGGAAAGGUUCUGAAGGGGUUUGAGUUUCUAAUUUUAGUCCCUAAAAUCUGAUAGCACUUUUGCUUUUCUUGCAGUUUGGUUUCAAGGAACAAUAAAUUUCCAAGAGAAGUUCAAGAGCUGGACUUAGAGCAAAUGCCCAGCUCAGCCACCAGAUACCCAGGUGACCUGGAAAGCUUCCUAGCCUUCCUAUAUCUCCAGGCAUAUGCUGAACUAACUUUGGGAAGUACUCAGGAGACUAGUCUGCCUUUACAAGACUAACAAAUUAGCCACAAGAUUAGAAAUUAUGGUGUAGGAGUCAUGCAGCUGGAGGCUACAAGAUUCUGACCCUCCUAAACUGCUCCUAAGAACAGUGCUUGAGACAUUUUGCAGACCCUGCACUUGAUGGAUCAGCUGGCACCACCCAGAUCCAUAAACAGGCUCAUCUGAUCUUGUGGCCCCCACCCAGGAACUGACUCAGCAUAGGAGGACAGCUUCAACUUCCCGUGAUUUCAUCUCCGACCCAACCAAUCAGCACUCUCAAUUGACUGGCUUCCCCCACUCACCACAUUAUCCUUAAAAACUCCGCUCCCUGAAUGCUCAGGGAGACUGAUUUGAGUAAUAAAACUCUGGUCUCCCAUACAGCUAGCUCUGCGUGAUUACUCUUUCUCUAUUGCAAUUCCCCUGUCUUGAUAAAUCAGCUCUGUGCAGGCAGCGGGCAAAGGGAACCCACUGGGUGGUU